rnacentral:RNase_P_RNA from 1 species
AAUGGUGAGUAAUCGCGGCUUAUGUUUACAUGAGUUGAGGAAAGUCCAGGCUCGCCCGGUGCUGAGAUGCCCGGAGUGUUCGUGCCAUCUGCAAAGGUGGGCAGCAGACUUCGUACUGCUGACGGCGGAGAAAUCAUGCUAAGUCCUUGAAGGAUAUGCUGAGAGUAACCUGAAAGUGCCACAGUGACGAAUUCUUUUGGAAACAGAAGAAAUGGAACGGGUAAACCCCACGAGCGAGCAACCCAAACUUUGGUAGGGGCACCAUCCAGCGGGAAUAAGGAACCAAAAGGAUGGAUCGGUCUUCUUGACUGAUAGUCAUAUGAUUACACCUGUACGUGCGAGAUUGGCAUCGUGAUAGCACGCAGGAACAGAACCUGGCUUACAGCC